ACGAACGCUGGCGGCGUGCUUCACACAUGCAAGUCGCACGGAGAGGCCCUGCUUGCAGGGUACUCGAGUGGCGAACGGGUGAGUAACACGUGGGUGAUCUGCCCUGCACUUCGGGAUAAGCCUGGGAAACUGGGUCUAAUACCGGAUAGGAGCCAUUUUUAGUGUGAUGGUUGGAAAGUUUUUUCGGUGUAGGAUGAGCUCGCGGCCUAUCAGCUUGUUGGUGGGGUAAUGGCCUACCAAGGCGGCGACGGGUAGCCGGCCUGAGAGGGUGGACGGCCACAUUGGGACUGAGAUACGGCCCAGACUCCUACGGGAGGCAGCAGUGGGGAAUAUUGCACAAUGGGCGCAAGCCUGAUGCAGCGACGCCGCGGGGGGGAUGACGGCCUUCGGGUUGUAAACUCCUUUCGCUAGGGACGAAGCUUUUUGUGACGGUACCUAGAGAAGAAGCACCGGCUAACUACGUG
rnacentral:rRNA from 1 species